UGGGGAAUAUUGCACAAUGGGCGAAAGCCUGAUGCAGCAACGCCGCGUGAGUGAUGAAGGUCUUCGGAUUGUAAAGCUCUGUCUUUUGGGACGAUAAUGACGGUACCAAAGGAGGAAGCCACGGCUAACUACGUGCCAGCAGCCGCGGUAAUACGUAGGUGGCGAGCGUUGUCCGGAUUUACUGGGCGUAAAGGGUGCGUAGGCGGAUGUUUAAGUGAGAUGUGAAAUACCCGGGCUUAACUUGGGUGCUGCAUUUCAAACUGGAUAUCUAGAGUGCAGGAGAGGAGAAUGGAAUUCCUAGUGUAGCGGUGAAAUGCGUAGAGAUUAGGAAGAACACCAGUGGCGAAGGCGAUUCUCUGGACUGUAACUGACGCUGAGGCACGAAAGCGUGGGUAGCAAACAGGAUUAGAUACCCUGGUAGUCCACGCCGUAAAACGAUGAGUACUAGGUGU
rnacentral:rRNA from 1 species